rnacentral:rRNA from 1 species
GACGAACUGUCCUAACGUUGUUCGGAUUCAUUGGGCGUAAAGGGCGCGUAGGCGGCGCGGUAAGUCGGGUGUGAAAUCUUGGAGCUUAACUCCGAAACUGCAUUCGAUACUGCCGUGCUUGAGGACUGGAGAGGAGACUGGAAUUUACGGUGUAGCGGUGAAAUGCGUAGAUAUCGGAAGGAAGACCAGUGGCGAAGGCGGGUCUCUGGGCAGUUCCUGACGCUGAGGCACGAAGGCCAGGGGAGCAAACGGG